UGCCCCUUCUUGCUGUGUACAACCCGACAUCUUCUGCUUUCUGAUUAGUAAAGAAGUUACUUUACAGUAUUGGUCCCCACUUUUCCAUUUGACUGCGGUCAGCUGAGCUGACGGGACACAGAACGGAAUGCAUCAGUACAUCCACUCUUGGGCUUCCUUUGGCAUGUUUUCUUUGGGAGGGCCCCAGCUGGUGCUGUUGUAAAGCCUGCUCUCCCUCUUCUACAACAGCCAGGCAACCCAGGGUCCUGCCCUGGUGUUAAAAGAAUGACAAAGGUCUCUGUUAACUUCUGGACUGAGGCACUGCUGAUCUCUCUGGGUCUCUUUUCCCGCAGCUUCACCAUCACAGGCCUCACCUGGAGUGCUGUGUCCAGUUCUGGGCUCCUCUGUACAAGAGAGAUGUGGAGCUCCUGGAGCUAUGAAGAUGAUUAAAGGACUGAAGCAUCUCUCUUGAGAGGAAAGGCUGAGGGAGCUGGGCCUGUUUAGUCUCGAGAAGACAUGGCUGAGAGGGAACCUCAUCAAUAUCUAUAAGUAUCUGAAGGCAGGAUGUCAAAAGAUGGGGCCCAGGCUCUUCUCGGUGGUGCCAAGCAACAGGACAAGAGGCAAUGGGCAGAAACUGAUGCACAGGAAGUUCCACCUGAAUGUGAGGAAGAACUUCUUUGCUGUGCGGGUGACGGUGCAUUGGAACAGAUUGCCCAGAGAGGUUUUGGAGUUUUCCUCACUGGAGAUAUUCAAGAACUGUCUGGAUGCAAUUCUGUUCCAUGUGCUCUAGGGUAAUCCUGCCUGAGCAGGGAGGUUGGACCAGAUAACCCUCUGUGAGCCCUUCCAACCUUGCCCAUUCUGUGAUUCUAUGAAAUCCUAAUGCUUGCAGUAUCUAAGUUAGGUACCUCUAAACAGGCUGCCUGGUUAUAGUCAUAAAUGUUUCGGUACUACUUCCAGAACUUCCUAUUUUUAUCUCUGGCCUAGGCCAGUUCUACUGUUAUUACCUGUUGUUAUUCUUUAUGCAUAAGUUUAAAUUAAAAGGAAAAACCUAGA